rnacentral:lncRNA from 1 species
CACAAGCAGUGACCUCAUAAGUAGAUGAGAUUUCCCUCCCACUAAGGUGUGCAGCCUUUGCUUUGUAAUUUCUAACAUUACAGCUAUACUAAAAAGAACGUAACAUUUUCAAUACUCAUUCAACAAUGCAAUUAGAGCAAAAUACACACACCACUAAGAACUUAAAGCUGCAAAUCGCUAGAAGAGAGGAUAUGCUACAAUGAGGAAACACACAGAGCUCAAGUGUGGGGCUAACCAACUACAUUUAAUCCACAUUCGAAGAGGACUGCUUUGAAUGUCAUCCAUCAGAAUCCAUCUCAAUGUCAACACUUCCUCUCAAGAGAAAGUAACAUGUUAAGACAAAUGGCCAAGAUAUACUGCAGUAACUCACCACAACCUGGGAAACCAUUGUGUCACUGCAGCACCUAACCACCUCAGCUCCUUGGUCUCCCAGCAUUUUGCCCUCCACCUGCACUGCAUCUCAUUUUACUAUGUGGAUGGCUUAUAGCCUCCAA